rnacentral:rRNA from 1 species
CACGUAGGGGACGAGCGUUGUCCGGAUUCAUUGGGCGUAAAGCGCGCGUAGGCGGCUCGGAAAGUCGGGCGUGAAAGUCCGGGGCUCAACUCCGGAUCUGCGGUGGGUACGGGCAGACUAGAGUGAUGUAGGGGAGACUGGAAUUCCUGGUGUAGCGGUGAAAUGCGCAGAUAUCAGGAGGAACACCGGUGGCGAAGGCGGGUCUCUGGGCCGAUACUGACGCUGAGGAGCGAAAGCGUGGGGAGCGAACAGG